GCUUACAGCCAUACCACCCUGAGAACGCCCGAUCUCGUCUGAUCUCGGAAGCUAAGCAGGGUCACGCCUGGUUAGUACUUGAAUGGGAGACCGCCUGGGAAUACCAGGUGCUGUAAGCU
rnacentral:rRNA from 1 species